GACGAACGCUGGCGGCGUGCCUAAUACAUGCAAGUCGAACGCAGUGGGGACGGGGGAGUAACAAGUGCGCAACCUCCCAUCAGAGUGGAUAACACUUGGAAACAGGUGCUAAAACCGCUACUGAUGGAGGGACCAGCUGGGGAUUGGCUAGUGGGUGAGGUAACGGCUCACAAAGGCCACGAUGCCUAGCCGGCCUGAGAGGGGGAUCAGCCACACGGGGACUGCGACACGGCCCAGACUCCUACGGGAGGCAGCAGUAGGGAAUAUUGGUAAAUGGGCGAAAGUCUGAUCGAGCAAGGCCGCGUGAGUGAAGAAGGUUUUCGGAUCGUAAAGCUCUGUUGGUGGAGAAGCGUUAUCUAACCAGAAAGCCACGGCUAACUACGUGCCAGCAGCCGCGGUAAUAC
rnacentral:rRNA from 1 species